rnacentral:rRNA from 1 species
UACGAAGGGGGCGAGCGUUGUUCGGAAUUACUGGGCGUAAAGGGCGCGCAGGCGGCUCUGAAAGUCAGAUGUGAAAGCCCCGGGCUUAACCUGGGAACUGCAUUUGAUACUCUAGAGCUUGAGUACGGGAGAGGAGAGUGGAAUUCCCAGUGUAGAGGUGAAAUUCGUAGAUAUUGGGAAGAACCCCGGUGGCGAAGGCGGCUCUGUGGACCGUAACUGACGCUGAGGCCCGAAAGCGUGGGGAGCAAACAGG